UUCGUCUGUCGUUCUAAGUAAAUCUCGUGCGGCUUGUCUCUACCAAGCCGUACGAGAUUUACUUGGACUGAUGGGUGA
rnacentral:pre_miRNA from 1 species